rnacentral:rRNA from 1 species
UACGUAGGUGGCGAGCGUUGUCCGGAUUUAUUGGGCGUAAAGGGCGCGCAGGCGGCCUGUUAAGUCUGGUGUGAAAGCUCCCGGCUCACCUGGGAGAGGGCGCUGGAGACUGGCAGGCUGGAGGGAGGCAGAGGCCGGUGGAAUUCCCGGUGUAGUGGUGAAGUGCGCAGAUAUCAGGAAGAACACCCGUGGCGAAGGCGGCUCUCUGGGACGGUACUGACGCUGAGACGCGAAAGCGUGGGGAGCGAACAGG